rnacentral:lncRNA from 1 species
AUGGGAGAAAAGUUGAGCCCAGGUGCCUUAGGCCCUCACCCUGUUACAGCUCCUGAGGGUAGAAAAUUACCGAGUGGAGUCAAGUCAGUUCAUGGAGCAGAGGGUUCCCAGGGCUGCAGUGGGGUCGGGCAGCAUGAAGGUAAGCAGGUGGUCCUACGAGGAACUCCAGCCUGUACAAGUGGCACCAUCUGGCCCAGCCUCGGCCCUGUGCUUCCUCUGGUGCGUGAGGAAAACAGGGCAAGAGCAACCAGUGAUGCCACUGCAAACAAGAAUGCCCGUGUGCUCAUGAACGCACCGUGCUGCUGCAGUUGGCAGCUAGAGGAAGCCGGCUCCUUGGGUUUCUCAGUUGCACCAGAAAUCCCACAUGUGGACCCCUGUGCCCAGGACCUCCUUGAUCCAGCAGCCCUGUCUCCCUGCCAUCUAGUUCUGUGAACUGCUGCCCGUGAAGUUCCCUAAUUUGCCCAUUAGCAGUCACCUGUGGUUGCACCCACUGCCCUGGAUGCUGGCGGUGAUAUGCCUGCUGACUAACUGACAAUUGGCCUUGACUUCAUUAGCUUGUGGAUUCUAGAGAGCUUCGUUGAUGGGAGCUCCUGCCUUCCUGGCUGUCAGUUUCCCUGCUGGUAGCCCUAUCCAUGUAUCAUCACACACCUGACUGAGUCUUGAUUUGCUCUUCAAAAUAUUCAGCUAAGCCUCAUGGAAAGCUUUUUGCCUUGAAACCUAUCUUCAUGUGCAUAUCAGAGCAGUGAGAAGAUAAGCCUGUGCACAACUAACACUCCUGGAGUGCAGAGGACCAUAAAAUUGAUUAUUCCCAAAGCAGGCUGUGAAGAGUUAACCCCACAGCUGGCUUGUUUAUAGAAGUGAGUCUGGCUGAAGCCUACGUGCUGAGGUCAGAGUAACUCACACCCAAAUUCCGUUCCCACAACUAAACCCUUCUGACUAGAAGGACAAUGUUCUAAUUGCAACCAUAUAUUUUGUCUAUUAUGUUCCUAAAUUCGAGAAUGGUUUGUCUUGUCCUUUAUGAGCCUUUUUUACAUUAAUUUCCAUAGAGACUAUUUGUAGCUCGCCUUUAACUCAACUGAUUGCCAGUAAAACUCAGUGCCUGGGACUGGCCAGCAUCUUUGUCAGCUGUACCGGCAUUGGCCAUCCUGGCCCCCACUUUCCCUUCUAGUUCUGUCUCUUAGCGUCUUUUUUCUCAGGCCUGCAUCGUAUACUGGGCAGAUGGGGACUGGAGCAUGGCUCUUCCUAACCCUAGGGAUGCCUGCAGCCCUUCUGCCAAGGACCAAGCAGUGGGGUUACCUCCCUGGACCAGCACCGGCCUUGAGUUCUUCCACAGCCCUGUUGUCAGGCUGUCUGUCUGGCUCCAAACCCAUGUUCCCAUGAGUCCAAAGAUUUUCUGGUUCGAAACGUGGAAAACAAGGUCACUGCACAUUCCAUAAAACAUCAUGAAAUCCAAGUGUGGAGGGAUUUUAGGUCAUGCAGAACUGAAAUCAUAAAGAAACACACAAUGACUAAACAUUUACAGACCGUGGGUUUUCAAUUUUAUAUCAAGGUAUAGUAAGUGCACACAAUGAAGUACUCAGCUCAGUACAUUCUGACAUCUGUUUCAGAGGGUAACAGAAUACACUACCCCCAAACAUGUCACUUUGACAUAAGGAUAAUUCUGAGCUGGAAGAGAAUAAGAAGAAGCAGAUAGAGUGGACCUCCCUUAAGGACCCUGAGGACACCGAGACCGAGGCUAGCUCCAAGCCCCAUGCGGAGCAAACUACAUGACACUGCAUAAGCGACUAGCAGGCAGCGCACAGGUGACCACAGGUAGCUGGAGCUGCAGAGAGCACAGCUGAG